rnacentral:rRNA from 1 species
UUCGCAAUGCCCGAAAGGGUGACGAAGCGACGCCGCGUGUGGGAAGAAGGCCUUCGGGUUGUAAACCACUGUCGGGAGUUAGGAAAUGUAAGGGUGUUAAUAGUAUCCUUACUUGACUAAGGCUCCGGAGGAAGCCACGGCUAACUCUGUGCCAGCAGCCGCGGUAAUACAGAGGCGGCAAGCGUUGUUCGGAAUUAUUGGGCGUAAAGAGCACGUAGGCGGCCUUGUAAGUCAGUUGUGAAAGCCUUCUGCUUAACGGAAGAACAGCAGCUGAUACUGCAAGGCUAGAGUGCGGAAGGGGAGAGUGGAACUUCUGGUGGAGCGGUGAAAUGCGUAGAUAUCAGAAGGAACACCGGCGGCGAAGGCGACUCUCUGGUCCGUAACUGACGCUGAGUGUGCGAAAGCUAGGGGAGCAAACGGGAUUAGAUACCCCGGUAGUCCUAGCCGUAAACGAUGGGCACUAA